GUAGGUGGCAAGCGUUGUCCGGAAUUAUUGGGGCGUAAAGCGCGCGCAGGCGGUCCUUUAAGGUCUGAUGUGAAAGCCCACGGGCUCAACCGUGGAGGGUCAUUGGAAACUGGGGGACUUGAGUACAGAAGAGGAAAGCGGAAUUCCACGUGUAGCGGUGAAAUGCGUAGAGAUGUGGAGGAACACCAGUGGCGAAGGCGGCUUUCUGGUCUGUAACUGACGCUGAGGCGCGAAAGCGUGGGGAGCAAACAGGAUUAGAUACCCUGGUAGUCCACGCCGUAAACGAUGAGUGCUAAGUGUUAGGGGGUUUCCGCCCCUUAGUGCUGCAGCUAACGCAUUAAGCACUCCGCCUGGGGAGUACGGCCGCAAAGGCUGA
rnacentral:rRNA from 1 species